GGUUCUCUGGGUGAGAACGUGGAUAUAUACUAAAAAAGGAAACCACUGGACAGGACAGCUGUACCCCGGGGAAGGAUGGUCUGCAUGCAACCAGCCUUUGAUCCAAAUGGCAGAGCCCAGCAAGAAUUCAGGAUGUUACUUGAGGCUUAAAAGGAGGUACAAGCUAUAAGAAGAAAAGAAUAUUGUCAAUGGAUUUCAACUCAAGAAAACUUACCUUUAAGAUAUAAUUAGCAAGCAAAUAGUGAAAUGAAUGGUACCGAUGACUAGAAGAUAAGAGCCUGGCAUGGCUGUCCUCUGAGAGGUUCUACCAGCAGCUGACUGAGACAGAUGCAGAUACUUACAGCCAACCACUGGACUGAGGUCGGAACUCCUAUGGAAGAGUUAGGGGAAGGACUGAAAGGACUGGCAGCAAUUGCCACCCCAUAUCCUAUCAACUUGAACAACAGUAUCAACUAACCCAGACCCCUGAGUUCCUAGAGGCUAAGCUACCAACAGAAGAGCAUACAUGGGCUGGUUUGUCCACUCGCUACAGGUGUAGUGGAGGAUUACCUGUCUGGUCUCAGUGGGAAAGGAUGUGGUUUAUCCUGCAGAACCUUGAUGUCCCAGGGAAGGGGGAUCAGGGGAAGAACUCUUGGAGGGGAGACCAGGAAGGGUAGCAACAUUUAGAAUACAACUAAAUAAAAUAAUUAAUAAAAAAGUAAGAAGGGCGAAUUGGGAGGAUCUGUGUGAUGGGUAUUGGGAGGACAGGGAGCUGAUGUUGGUAUGUAAAGUGAGUAAUUAAAUUUUUAAAAAAUGAAAAAAA